AUAAUGGUACUUCCGUAACUCGCGGUCCGGCUAUAAUGAAAGCGGGAAGGUGAAAUUCCUAUGG
ncrna:unclassified sequences pemK RNA